GACGAACGCUGGCGGCGUGCUUAACACAUGCAAGUCGAGCGGAUCGGCGAACGGGUGAGUAACGCGUGAGUAACUGCCCCCCUCUCUGGGAUAACAGUUGGAAACGGCUGCUAAUACCGGAUAGUGGGGGAUGACUCGCGUCCUAUCAGCUUGUUAGUGGGGUAGUGGCCUACCAAGGCGACGACGGGUAGCCGGCCUGAGAGGGGGACCGUCCACAUUGGGCGAAGUGACGGCCCAAACUCGUACGGGAGGCAGCAGUGGGGAAUAUUGCACAAUGGGGGAAAGCCGGAUGCAGAAACGCGCGUGCGGGAUGACGGCCUGCGUGUUGUAAACCGCUUUCAGCCAUGACGCGGUAGUGGCAGAAGAAGCACCGGCUAACUACGUGCCAGCCGCCGCGGUAAUAC
rnacentral:rRNA from 1 species